rnacentral:rRNA from 1 species
AGAGUUUGAUCAUGGCUCAGGACGAACGCUGGCGGCACGCCUAACACAUGCAAGUCGAACGGUGAUUGAUUAGCUUGCUAAUGAAUCAUAGUGGCGGACGGGUGAGUAACACGUGAGUAACCUGCCUCUAAGCGGGGAAUAGCUUCUGGAAACGGAUGGUAAUGCCCUAUAAUAUAAUAUUACCGCAUGGUAGGAUUAUCAAAGAUUGUAUCGCUUAGAGAUGGACUCGCGUCUGAUUAGCUGGUUGGUGAGGUAACGGCUCACCAAGGCGACGAUCAGUAGCCGGACUGAGAGGUUGAACGGCCACAUUGGGACUGAGACACGGCCCAGACUCCUACGGGAGGCAGCAGUGAGGGAUAUUGCACAAUGGGGGGAACCCUGAUGCAGCGAUGCCGCGUGGAGGAAGAAUGUCUUCGGAUUGUAAACUCCUUUUGUCAGGGACGAUAAUGACGGUACCUGAAGAAAAAGCUCCGGCUAACUACGUGCCAGCAGCCGCGGUAAUACGUAGGGAGCGAGCGUUGUCCGGAAUUACUGGGUGUAAAGGGAGCGCAGGCGGGAUUGCAAGUCAGAUGUGAAAAGUACGGGCUCAACCUGUAAGGUGCAUUUGAAACUGUAGUUCUUGAGUGAAGUAGAGGUAAGCGGAAUUCCUAGUGUAGCGGUGAAAUGCGUAGAUAUUAGGAGGAACAUCGGUGGCGAAGGCGGCUUACUGGGCUUUUACUGACGCUGAGGCUCGAAAGCGUGGGAGCAAACAGGAUUAGAUACCCUGGUAGUCCACGCUGUAACGAUGAUGACUAGGUGUG